UCCCUGUUAGUCCAGUGGUUAGGACUUGGCUCUUUUGCUGCCGUGGCCCGGGUUCAAUCCCUGGUCAGGGAA